rnacentral:rRNA from 1 species
GAUGAACGCUGGCGGCGUGCCUAACACAUGCAAGUCGAGCGAAGCGCUUAAAUUAGAUUUCUUCGGAAUGACGAUUUUUGUGACUGGGCGGCGGACGGGUGAGUAACGCGUGGGUAACCUGCCUCAUACAGGGGGAUAACAGUUAGAAAUGACUGCUAAUACCGCAUAAGACCCCAGCUUCGCAUGAAGCGGUGGUAAAAACUCCGGUGGUAUGAGAUGGACCCGCGUCUGAUUAGCUAGUUGGUAAGGUAACGGCUUACCAAGGCGACGAUCAGUAGCCGACCUGAGAGGGUGACCGGCCACAUUGGGACUGAGACACGGCCCAGACUCCUACGGGAGGCAGCAGUGGGGAAUAUUGCACAAUGGGGGAAACCCUGAUGCAGCGACGCCGCGUGAAGGAUGAAGUAUUUCGGUAUGUAAACUUCUAUCAGCAGGGAAGAAAGUGACGGUACCUGACUAAGAAGCCCCGGCUAACUACGUG